CCUGAACGCUGGCGGCGUGGCUAAGACAUGCAAGUCGCACGGUGUAGCAAUACACAGUGGCGAACGGGUGAGUAAUGAAUCGCUAAUGUACCCUGGACUCUGGGAUAGCUGGCCGAAAGGCCAGGUAAUACCAGAUGAGACCACGAACAGGCAUCUGUUUGUGCUCAAAGGUCCGCCGGUCUGGGAGCAGGCGAUUUCGUAUCAGCAGUUGGUGAGGUAACGGCUCACCAAGGCGACGACGCGUAGCCGGACUGAGAGGUUGGCCGGCCACAUCGGGACUGAGACACUGCCC
rnacentral:rRNA from 1 species